CCUACGUGUGGCAGCAGUGAGGAAUAUUGGUCAAUGGGCGCGAGCCUGAACCAGCCAAGUCGCGUGAGGGAAGACGGUCCUAUGGAUUGUAAACCUCUUUUGUCGGGGAGCAAAGUUCUCCACGCGUGGCUUUCCGCGUGUACCCUAUGAAUAAGCAUCGGCUAACUCCGUGCCAGCAGCCGCGGUAAUACGGAGGAUGCGAGCGUUAUCCGGAUUUAUUGGGUUUAAAGGGUGCGAAGGUGGAUGAUUAAGUCAGCGGUAAAAUUGAGUGGCUCAACCUAUUAGAGACGUUGAAACUGGUAGUCUUGAGUGAGUGAGAAGUAGGCGGAAUGCGUGGUGUAGCGGUGAAAUGCAUAGAUAUCACGCAGAACUCCGAUUGCGAAGGCAGCAUACCGGGGCGUAACUGACGCUGAUGCACGAAAGUGUGGGUAUCGAACAGGAUUAGAUACCCUAGUAGUC
rnacentral:rRNA from 1 species